rnacentral:rRNA from 1 species
AGUGAACGCUGGCGGUAGGCCUAACACAUGCAAGUCGAACGGCAGCACAGUAAGAGCUUGCUCUUACGGGUGGCGAGUGGCGGACGGGUGAGGAAUACAUCGGAAUCUACUUUUUCGUGGGGGAUAACGUAGGGAAACUUACGCUAAUACCGCAUACGACCUACGGGUGAAAGCAGGGGAUCUUCGGACCUUGCGCGAUUGAAUGAGCCGAUGUCGGAUUAGCUAGUUGGCGGGGUAAAGGCCCACCAAGGCGACGAUCCGUAGCUGGUCUGAGAGGAUGAUCAGCCACACUGGAACUGAGACACGGUCCAGACUCCUACGGGAGGCAGCAGUGGGGAAUAUUGGACGAUGGGCGCAAGCCUGAUCCAGCCAUACCGCGUGGGUGAAGAAGGCCUUCGGGUUGUAAAGCCCUUUUAUUGGGAAAGAAAAGCAGCAGGUUAAUACCCCGCUGUUCUGACGGUACCCAAAGAAUAAGCACCGGCUAACUUCGUG